CACGUAGGGCGCGAGCGUUGUCCGGAAUUAUUGGGCGUAAAGAGCUCGUAGGCGGCCUGUUGCGUCCGCUGUGAAAGCCCGGGGCUUAACCCCGGGUCGGCAGUGGAUACGGGCAGGCUAGAGGUAGGUAGGGGAGAAUGGAAUUCCCGGUGUAGCGGUGAAAUGCGCAGAUAUCAGGAGGAACACCAAUGGCGAAGGCAGCUCGCUGGGACGGUACUGACGCUGAGACGCGAAAGCGUGGGGAGCAAACAGG
rnacentral:rRNA from 1 species